GACGAACGCUGGCGGCGUGCCUAAUACAUGCAAGUAGAACGCUGAAGGAGGAGCUUGCUUCUCUGGAUGAGUUGCGAACGGGUGAGUAACGCGUAGGUAACCUGCCUGGUAGCGGGGGAUAACUAUUGGAAACGAUAGCUAAUACCGCAUAACAGUAGAUAUCGCAUGAUAUCUACUUGAAAGGUGCAAUUGCAUCACUACCAGAUGGACCUGCGUUGUAUUAGCUAGUUGGUGAGGUAACGGCUCACCAAGGCGACGAUACAUAGCCGACCUGAGAGGGUUGACGGCCACACUGGGACUGAGAACCGGCCCAGACUCCUACGGGAGGCAGCAGUAGGGGAUCUUCGGCAAUGGACGGAAGUCUGACCGAACAACGCCGCGUGAGUGAAGAAGGUUGUCGGAUCGUAAAACUCUGUUGUAAGGGAAGAACGAGUGUGAGAGUGGAAAGUUCACACUGUGACGGUAUCUUACCAGAAAGGGACGGCUAACUACGUG
rnacentral:rRNA from 1 species